GACAGCUAGGGCUAAACUUGAAGGGAGACUGACAAGGGGGGAAAGAGAGAGUCACAGUGAAAAGAAAGAAACUGGCAAACAGCUUCUUCUCUUGCACAGGUAAAAAGCAUCCUAUUGCACUUGGACAGGGAACUUGUUGCUGAUUCUUGCCAGUGGUUUGAAGGUGUCUGUAUGUUCACAUUUGUGUAAUGAGAUAAAUUGUAAAAGGCACCAAUCCACAAGAAGGAGGAAUGAUAGGGUCCUUACCAGUGGAGUGCCUCUGACAGACAAGUUUGAUUGCUUGGGAUCUUGUCUCUCGUAGCUUGUGGGCUGUGCUUGUGGGAGCUGGUAGAAGCAUGUUGGGUUAAGCAGGGCAGGGAUCUGUACUCUGCCCAAGUGUCUGCCCUCUCACCUGUGUGUGGAUGUGUGUGGAGAGAAGCAGGGAGAGAUCCCAGCCCACAGUACUUGAUCCAGGGUCCAGGGAGGUGUCUGGAGCUGUGUGCUGUCAGCAGGGGAUGGUUGUUGAAGCUGAAGCUGUCUGGAUUUGCAGCUGGAGAGAGGAAGAAGAUUAUGGAAGCCUGGGGACCUCGUCUGGGCUGUGUCUUGCUCCUUUAUCUUUGUGUUGGACUGAGAGAAUGCCGAGGCCAAAGCAGGCACACAACACAAGGAUCCUCAAGGACCCCACAAGACAACGUUUGGAGAUCAAUCAGCUACUAGGAACCAGGGCCGGCUCCAGAAAUAAUUCCUGGGAGGUGGGGGGUGCUUAGCUUCUGGGGAGUGAAGCCAAGGAGAACAUCUUGGGGUUAAUAAGCUCUGACAACCCAGAGCAACCUCAUUUUUGCUUCUGUAACAGUUGUGAUCUCUGAAGUCAUUAUCAUGACUGAGCUAUAUUAUAAAUAUAUACAUUGCUAAUGUAGCUGAUCCUGUAUAUUGUGCUGUGUUAUUGUGAUUAUUUUAUAUGAUAAAUAACUUGAAUCAACACAUGCUAAGUGAUGCCACACAAGGUACA